GACGAACGCUGGCGGCGUGCUUAACACAUGCAAGUCGAACGGAAAGGCCCUUUCGGGGGUACUCGAGUGGCGAACGGGUGAGUAACACGUGGGUGAUCUGCCCUGCACUUCGGGAUAAGCUUGGGAAACUGGGUCUAAUACCGGAUAGGACUACGGACUGCAUGGUCUGUGGUGGAAAGCUUUUGCGGUGUGGGAUGGGCCCGCGGCCUAUCAGCUUGUUGGUGGGGUGAUGGCCUACCAAAGGCGACGACGGGUAGCCGGCCUGAGAGGGUGUCCGGCCACACUGGGACUGAGAUACGGCCCAGACUCCUACGGGAGGCAGCAGUGGGGGAUAUUGC
rnacentral:rRNA from 1 species